rfam:Myotis lucifugus cont2.68061, whole genome shotgun sequence.
GGCAGUUCUUGGGUGAUGCACCCCAGAAUCUGGCUCCCUCCCCUCUGGUUCCCAGUGCACCACCUGAGAACCGCA